AAGAAUGGCAGGGAAGUGCCAAGCAGCCUGGGAUACGACAGUGAGGGUGAAACAUAUCCUGCCGCAAACAGUUAUCCACGGGCUGGAUAUUUCCUCUACCCAGGGCCCUCUAGUGCGAUACAAGGUACACUCAUGGUCAAACCUGUUCAGCAGAAGUCAGGAGAUCACUGACAUGAACAAUAAAAGACAAGCUUUGGAAUGACAGGGGCGAAGGAUAUAUUUUCCGCACUACUCCCAGUGAAGCAGAACGAACCAGCCAGCAUCACCAUGAGCGUCAACCAAAAACAUAAGGAUAAACAGACUACAAAUCUCGUGUAUACACUUUUAUUAAGAAAUCAGAGAAACUGAAAAAAAUAUAUAUACAUAUUUUCACAUUUGAAAAAAAAAUCAAAUACAGAUGACAGAUGAUGACUCACUAGAGUCUAAUAAAUAUCUUAUGUGGAAUGACAUGAAAAAAAAUAAAGAAAAAAACUGUACUAGAUGUGUUACAGCAUAGCGAUGCUGUUUUAACAAAGUCAAAUAUUGAAAGUAUUCAAAUAUCUGUCAAAUUUCAACACCAGUGAUUUUUCAUUCAUUUUAAAUGAAUACUAUGAGUCAUGAAUUGGCUGACAGGAUUAUUUAUGUUUAUGCAGCAAAAUAUAUUUCUGAUAUUCCCAUGUCACUAUUUCUGAAGAAAUCACACAUCACACAAAAGCUCCUUGAAGACUCACCAUCUCAGAAAAAGAAUUUCCAAACUUCACUCAUAAAUAUAUGGACAAAUUCACAAUAGUAAAACACCCCAAAAAAUAUAUCACAUCGUGUGUAUAUAUUGUAAGAAAUGCAGUCACACGAACAAGUUUUCCAUAUGCUCCUCUAAGGCACUAGGCAUUGACAGUAAGAAACAAAUAUAUCUACAUAUGUAUAUAAAUCUAUACAUAUGUAUAUACACAGGCACUGGAUACUCGAUACACUGGAUGGAAAAGCUUUUAAUAAAUGCGACAUCAAUCUUUCAACUGCCCACUUUUUUCCCCUUUCUUCCUCUCCAAAUUGCAUUUAUAUUUUUACCUAUUGCAAGUCACUCUUUGAGCAAAUACAUGAGAGGUUGUAAUGUACCAUAUUUCAGUUAUGGCAAGAAUAAAUAUACUAUUCAUUACAAAAAUGUCAUAUUAGAAAUGCAACUUGAUACCCUGAAUAACCAUUUCAAAUUACUGAACUCGAUCUAAAUCACAAGAGCAAAAGUGAUGCAAAAAAGUUCAUAUUCUCCUAGUCAUUAUCAUUAUUAUUCUCACCUUUGUUUUCCUUAUUCCCAUUUUUAUAAUCGUGUGCUUGACCCAAUACUUGAUAAAUGCACGGUUCAUUAAGUGAAUGAAGCAAUAUCCACACUAAAUCCUUCAGUUCUUUGAAGCCUAAGACGAGGGGGAAAAAGGAUAAUAGGAAUAAAGAAAGUAUAAUAAACGUUAACAGGACAUUGAUCGAAAGGGAAAAAUAUUAGAGGUAAAAGAAAUAAAGGGUAAACAGGUAAAUAUGAGAAAAGGGAAAACAAGAAAAGCACACAUGAAAGACCAAAAGAAUAAAGAACAGAAAAAAUAUAUUGAUAGAAAAAUCCCACACAAGUAAAAAAUUGUGAUUACAAUGACAAGUGAUACUAUAGCCUAAUUUUGGCUCUUCAGAUCUAGCUUGCCAAGAAUAUCCUAGCUCUUCCUCAUUCGUAAAAAUAAGACAUCCUGUAAUAAUUUGUAAUACUGAAACAGAUGAACUUCUUGUACUAAAUCUAUAAUCCUAAUGUCCACUUUUCCUUUUAUCAUCCUAACAAAUAUACAUUUCUUUGUCCAUCUGAUGAUAGAAGAGAGAUGAAAUUUACAUUGCAUAGCACAGCUUACUGGAAAGAAAUGACAAGUCUGGGUAAGAAACUAGAUUUCACCACUAACACAGGUGAAAGUAAAACCUCAGCAUUCUGAACUUUUCUAAUCAAACCUUAUUUUUUUCUUCUUUUCAUUUAUCCUGCACGUCACUAACUCGUCUCUCUUCAGUACAUUAAUGACAAAUAUCACUUUGAAGAUGAGCCACAAGAGAAGAGAGGUGUGUUACUCAUCUCAAAGACAGUAUGAAUAGUAAAUGGUUGUACGGCUGCCUAUAGAUUCCAUCACCUUAUUACUACUGAAUGAGAAAAUAAAUGUGUAAAACUCUAAAACUUAGAGUGAAGUUUAUAGUUCCUCACAUAGAAAACUUGUCAUCUUCAGUAUUCAAAGUAUUUGACAAAUUAAAUUGUCAUAGUCUUAACUAUAAUCAUAUAGUCUUCUCUACGAUGUUUUCUGUUAAUUUGUCAGUUCAUAUUCAUUGAUUCUUCCCUAACAUUUGGCUGAAAUAGCUUGAAUACGCAAGAUGGGUUUAAAAUUUUUGUU